GGAGAGAUGGCCGAGUGGCUGAAGGCGAGCGCCUGCUAAGCGUUUGUAGGGGUUUUUAAGCCCUUACCCUGGGUUCGAAUCCCAGUCUCUCCG
rnacentral:tRNA from 1 species